UGGGGAAUUUUGCACAAUGGGGGAAACCCUGAUGCAGCGACGCCGCGUGAUUUAGAAGGCCUUCGGGUUGUAAAACUCUUUUCUAUGGGAAGAAAAUGACAGUACCAUAGGAAUAAGGACCGGCUAAUUACGUGCCAGCAGCCGCGGUAAUACGUAAGGUCCGAGCGUUGUCCGGAAUCAUUGGGCGUAAAGGGUACGUAGGCGGGUAAGCAAGUUAGAAGUGAAAUCCUAUAGCUCAACUAUAGUAAGCUUUUAAAACUGCUCAUCUUGAGGUAUGGAAGGGAAAGUGGAAUUCCUAGUUUAGCGGUGAAAUGCGCAGAUAUUAGGAGGAAUACCGGUGGCGAAGGCGACUUUCUGGCCAUAACCUGACGCUGAGGUACGAAAGCGUGGGUAGCAAACAGG
rnacentral:rRNA from 1 species